GAUCUUUUCGAUGUUGGAUACAAUUUGAUUGCGGCCUAGUCUUGUUGUUCCCGGAAGUGGCCGACAAGAAGAACAGACGGCGCACAGCUCAAGACAGAGGAGAAAUGAAACGUGAGCCAGGUAGGCUGUUAUUGCUUUUUGAACCAAAAGCUGCUAUUCAAUGCUGCUGUUUCAAUAACAUCCGGAUCACAGAUUUGUCAACGGAUUGGUCUCGGUGCGGUCAGUCGCAACUGUUCCAUUUCCAUCAAUCUUUCCACCAUCUACAGUACCCUCAGCCAAGUCACCAGUUCCGGAAUUGCAUGCCAUCAAAAGUUCACCCAGUUGUGAUCCUGAGCUUGCUACAAUUGAUGUUUCAUCCACCUCACACAUUAGAAGCUGAUAGGAAUGGAAUUGCUUCCAUCAGUUCUGAUAUUGGGUGCCAUGAAUGAUGUUCCCUCGCUGCUAGUAAUGCAGCAAUAAUCAGGCAUCCGACAAUAUAAAGGCUGCAUACCUCCUGGCUGUCCUCGGCGGCAACGCCAGCCCAUCGAGUGCCGACAUCGAGAAGAUCCUGAGCUCGGUUGGUAUCGAGGCCGAUUCGACUCGCGUCCCCAAGGUGGUCAACGAGCUGAAGGGCAAGUCGGUGGAGGAACUGAUGGCCUCCGGUCGCGAGAAGCUCUUGUCGAUACCAGCUGGUAGAGCCGCUCCAGCUGACGAUGCUUGUGCUCAUGCCGUUGGCGCUGCUGCCGCUCCUGCUGAAGAUUAGAAGGAAGAGUCGGAAUCGGAGGACGACUUUCGGUCGUCGGGGGCUUCGGUCUCUUUUAAUAAGAAGGGAUUCAACCACAUCAUUGGAAUGUGACGAUGACCAUUCGUACGAAAGGUACAAAUAUUUAUUUCUGUGAAUUAAAUAACCAAAAAAUUGUGACGUCUGAUUCCAAACUCUCAAACAUACAUAUUAUGAAGCUAUACUAGUGCAGCGGAAUCGACACAGUUUCGCCCAUGAGACCGCGCAUGGCCGAUCAAUUCCCAUUUGGCAGCUUCUAGCACUCCACAAGAAUAGGCAAACAUUGGUGCUUCAUCCGAUAAAAAGCAAAAUAACAAAACCGUUCAUCAUCCUACAACCACUUGCAAUGGUGCAUACAAUGACGGCACUUCGGACGGCACGCAACAUAUCAAUGGAACUUGCGAAAUUCCCGUGGCCGAGUGACAAAGUAGUGCGGUAUACCGUGUGUUAAUAAAAGCUUCAACCGAACACACAUCGACAACAUCCGGACAACUACAGAAAAAACAACUUUCCUACGUUCAUUUCAAUUUGUAUGUUUCCUGGUCUUGCCGAUCCGGAACUGUCAUCUAUAGGAAAUGGCCAUGACGGAGGCCGGGGAAAGUCCGGGAGUCGUUCAACAUAGAGAGGACAUGGGCACGAAUGGGAUCCUGUUAUUAUUUUUCGUUCUAAGAGCUAUUUUGAUAUGCUGCUGAAAUAACGAUCGGAUCGCAGAUUUUUAUUUGAAAGAUCUUUGUACCAGCCGAGAGUUUUUCCUCAAACGGCCAUACCGUCAGAAACCCUAUUGCAAUUCCGGUCGAGGUUCCGGUAUGGCAUGCCCUCAAACUUCUACAAAGCUUUUUGUUACUUGGGAUUGCUUCUAUGAGGCUGAGAGAUACUAAGUUCUUCCGGCGACACUUCUAUCAUCCAUGCUGCCAUCAGUAACUGUUCAUGUAUUCGGCUAUUCGGCAAGAAAAAUUGCUGAAAUGUAUUAUCUCUAUUAUACUGCCGUCAUACGCAUAUUUGUCCCAUGUUUGCUGGGAUUUUCUAUGUACAUGGGACAGUUAUGCGUAUAACGGCAGUAUAGAGCAUGUAAUAAAACCCGAGUUAAAGCAAUACAAUAUUUGAUAUUUUAUUUUUGUAUCUUAUGCGUAGAAUAAUAAUUCAAAGCAAAAAGAUUUUUAAAUCCAAAACCAAAAAAAAAAAUCACCCAUAUCUAUAUGAGUCAAUUUAACCUAUAAUAAAGUAUCCAUAAACAGGUGAACUUUACCAAUAUUUCCAUGAACCGAUUGUACUCAAAUAUGAGUAAAUGUCAAUUCACCCAUAAAUACGUAUGUGCACUUUUUCGAGAUUAUAGAUAUAGUUCACCCAUAUUUAGGUGAACUGAACUAAGCGUGAAGAGUAGUAUAAUGUUGAACCGCUGGAGUCAGAUGUUUGGAACGACUUGAUUACGGGGUCAAUCAAGAGAUUCUUAAUCUGCUUGAGUUGUCGGACCUCAAGGACCACAUUGUGGACGCACGAACGAAAUACACGAUGACAUUUAUUCAAUAUGAAUCAUUGAUUAUAUUUACGGAGAUACAUUUGCAUAACUUGGUGAAUCGCAUUGCUUCCCACGCUACCGUAAUGUGUAAUAAAUUACCGUAAUGAUUAAGAA